ensembl:lncRNA
GGACCCAAGUCUUCAGGGUGAUGCUGGGAGAAACGUCCUCGUACCUCAGGGGAGAGGACACCUCAAAACUAGUCACACCGUCUGAUGCUAUGUGUAGAGGUGACGGUGAGGUGGUCAGGCCGUGGAAGGAGAUACUGUAGUCAACGGUGACGUCACCAAGGCUGGCCCACCACCGGGCGACACAUAACUCUACUGUCCUCCCCGACUAGAGAGGAGAGACACUCAGUCAAAACAGCAUCACAGAGACACAUAACUCUACUGUCCUCCCCGACUAGAGGAGAGACACUCAGUCAAAACAGCAUCACAUAACUCUACUGUCCUCCCCGACUAGAGAGACACUCAGUCAAAACAGCAUCACAUAACUCU